rnacentral:tRNA from 1 species
GGGGCGGUUCGAUGGUGUCGACACGGAGGACGGAGACCCUCCCGUGCCGCGGGUUCGAUCCCCGCCCGCUCCA